rnacentral:rRNA from 1 species
CCUACGGGAGGCUGCAGUGAGGAAUAUUGGUCAAUGGACGAGAGUCUGAACCAGCCAAGUAGCGUGAAGGAUGACUGCCCUAUGGGUUGUAAACUUCUUUUAUAUGGGAAUAAAACGAGGCACGUGUGCCUUUUUGUAUGUACUUUAUGAAUAAGGAUCGGCUAACUCCGUGCCAGCAGCCGCGGUAAUACGGAGGAUCCGAGCGUUAUCCGGAUUUAUUGGGUUUAAAGGGAGCGUAGAUGGGUUGUUAAGUCAGUUGUGAAAGUUUGCGGCUCAACCGUAAAAUUGCAGUUGAGACUGGCAGUCUUGAGUACAGUUGAGGUAGGCGGAAUUCGUGGUGUAGCGGUGAAAUGCUUAGAUAUCACGAAGAACCCCGAUUGCGAAGGCAGCUUACUAGACUGUGACUGACACUGAUGCUCGAAAGUGUGGGUAUCAAACAGGAUUAGAUACCCUAGUAGUC